rnacentral:rRNA from 1 species
GACGGAGGAGGCAAGCGUUAUCCGGAAUUACUGGGCGUAAAGCGUGCGCAGGCGGUUGUGUAAGACAGAUGUGAAAUCCCCGGGCUCAACCUGGGAACUGCAUUUGUGACUGCACAGCUGGAGUGCGGCAGAGGGGGAUGGAAUUCCAGGUGUAGCGGUGAAAUGCGUAGAUAUCUGGAGGAACACCGGUGGCGAAGGCGGCAUCCUGGACCGAUACUGACGCUGAGGAGCGAAAGCCAGGGGAGCAAACGGG